rnacentral:misc_RNA from 1 species
UUUUUUUUUUAAUUUUUUUUUAAAUAUAUAUGAUGUGCCUGUUCUAGAGAAGUUAAACUUUUGACAAUUUGAGGUUUUCAUUAGCAAAUUGUAGAUCAAUGAUCUUUUCUUUUUCCCCUUUCUUUAGAUGAUGGGCAAGUUUCUCAAAGGAGCUGAUUAUUAUGAUUUACUAGUGUUUAAAUGCGGAAUUAUAGUGAAACUAAAUUGGAUUAUAUUUGAAUCCACCCUCCAGGUAUUGUGAAUUAUUUUUGGUCUAGUUUCUGUUGUAACCUGUUGAUGUUUGAAAUGAAAGGGCACAAAAAACUUUUGUCAUCAGUCACAUGAAUUAUGACAAUAUCAAACUAUAAAGAGUU